UGUUCCAGGUAACUUAAGUUAUUGUCAUUAUUAGGAUGGUUUUGGUCAGCUCUGGAGCCAUAAUUUGUUGGCAAAGGUCAUUGAAGGCGAAGUUACUAAACAUGGCAUUGGCAUAGACUUGGUAUGACCUUUGUUUCUAUAUCAGUUAAGUUGACUGUGUAUGAUUAAUAUCUCCUUUUAAGAUUUCUGGCUUUGUGUGUGUCUGUUGGGGAAUUCCCACUGGGAAGCAUCUGCUUGAGGACUUUAGGUUGUUCUUAGUUAUGCAUAAGUUAUAUGUCUAUCUUUUUUCACUGCUUAUUACUUUUCAGAUCAUUACCUUUGAUAACUAUGGUGUGUCUGGUCACUGCAAUCACCGUGAUGUGCAUUAUGGCGUAAAGUAAGUUAAAUUAUCACUUAAGGUUGAGCUUGGUUUGAAUUUAAAUUUCAUGGAACAGGAAGACUAAUAUUAAAAUAGACAAAAAUUUAAAUGAAAAUAAAAUUCUAAUUCUAAAUCAAUUCUAGGUCCAAUUCAAGUUAGUUGUUUCUAUAAUUGAUUCAUUGACAUGUGGAAAUACAAAUCUAUUAUUAUGAAAUUGGUAAUGGCACAAAUAAAGUAUUACUAACUUUGACAUAUCAAAUAUCUAGUAAUUGAAUGGGUUAGAAUAAACUUGAGCCAAAAACAACGUUAACUUAACAUUUUUAUUCACUUAGGAUACCUCUUAAUUAUGUUCUUUAUGCAUGUGCACUAUGUGGGGAUAAAAUGGUGUGUACGUCUAUUAUUAAUUUCUUCCUAAUUAUCAUGACUAGGAAUUUUCUCCUGUCAAGUUUGUUUGCAUGUUUCUUCCCAUUUCAGCAUGCAAAAAGCUAUUUUACAUAAGGUUUCAUUUACCAUGCAUGUGAAUCUCACUGGUUUGCUUUGCCAAGGAUGUUGAAGUUGAAUAUUUAGUAUUUUGUCAUGCUAUUUUCUUGAUAGAAAUUUUUAGUUGAGAAAUUGUAAUCGAUCUAUUUUGUGAGCUAGCACCAUAUGUGGUGUUGUUCUGUCAAAUUCAUGUUCUACAAUUUAAACCUCUUGAAUUGUGUAGAUCUGUGGAACCCUCGCUUGGCUGUUUUGCUUAUGUGCUCUCUCAUUGCUCUAAUGAAUGCCUUAAUACUAGUUGGAAGUAUCAAUAUUGAACUGUUAUACUAAAUGCUAGACUGCUCAUCUUGCAGUAAAAUGAGCAUUAUGCAGGGGAAAGAACAUUACUUUAUUAUCUAACUACAAAUCUACUAUUACUGAAAAAGUAUGUGGUAGAUUCUGGAUUACUUCACAAACUAAAGCAAAUUCUGCAUCUGUCUUGAAAUAAUAUGGAUAGGAAGUUAGGAACCAUCAUUUUUCUAUUAUUCUGGUGAAAACCCCUCUUUCUUUUCAUUUGUUGUCUUAGCUUGUUCAACACAUUAAUUUUAUGAUGUUAUGAAACUAUGAUAUGCUUUGAAACCCAUUUAUUCUCUUCAUUAUUUGUGCUGUGUAAGCAGGAAGUUUUUGGUCAACAAUCCACAAAGAAAUAUUGAAGGUUAGUACUAACAUAUUACGCAAGUAUAGUGGGCCUGUUGACAUUUGGCUAUCGAAUUUAUAUGGCAUGAAUGGCCCUGGUGGAGUAAUGCAUUGCUUGCUAAAUGAGCAGCCCAAGAAGAGCUUCUUUGCCAUGGCACAACACUCAAGCCAAUGGGUUUGGUUUCGGAAGCUUUUUGUUUCCUUUUCCAGUUAUACGUACGUGAACACGCUUAGAAAGAUCUCUAUCUACUAGUCUGUAGAGCUGGUGAACAUAAUAAAGAAAUAAUGAUAAGAGAGAAGAGAGAUAGAUCAGGUGGCUGGAGAUAAGAGACCGGUGAGUGAUGAUAGGAACUAAGGUUGGGCAGCACCAACGGCACUGUAUGUAAACUUGUUUUGUAUCUACAUCUGCAUGUUCUCUCUUCAGUUUCUCUACAUGGCUUUUUAGCAAUGAAGAGUUGUGGUGCAUAUAACACUGAAUUGUAGAUACGAUUGAAGUCAAAUGAUACUUAUUGGUGAAAGCAUGGAUGUUUCUUUCAAAAUUUUCAA